CCCCCAUCCCGGAGAGGGAGGGGGGAGGGUGAGCGAACGGCUGUGUGGUGUUUAGCUGCCAGCCGGGCUAAACCACAACAGUGAGUAAAACCUAAGAUAUGAAUUGAAGAAAGUCAUUGGGAGUAACGGCAUGCUCUUCACAUAGAAUCGGUGAUGAUUGCCAGUACAUCAGUUACACUUUCAAAAGAAAAGUGGGAUGCUGUUGAAAGAAACACCUUACUUAAUUUAUGUGCUGAACUUGUAAAGUCAACAUUUUCACGCCAUCAGUCGGAACUCCUGGCUAUCUAUCUGUGCACAGGGCUGUAAAUUCUGGUCAGUCCCUGUUGGGAGGUUCGCCCUCAUGCCUUGAUCAGAUGGACAGAGGAGAAAGCAGAGACCUUAGUCCUUGGCUGUCACACAAGAUCCCACAAGACCCAGCCCCAAGUUUUUCUCCUUCUCUCUGAGUCAGUAACAUCCUACAACAGGCUUCACGUCCUUAAACACCUGCGGCUGAAAACUUCAAAUUUUUGCAGUGAUGGAUUUGAAGCUGUUCUUGGUCUGUUUUUCACAGAAUCACAGAAUCACAGAAUUGUAGGGGUUGGAAGGGACCUUGAAAGAUCAUCGGGUCCAAACCCCCUGCCAAAGCAGGUUCCUUAGAGCAGGCUGCCCAGGUAGG